AGCAGCCCCUCGUGCGGCGUUAUCCCACCCAACCCCCCCAGGGCCGGAAGGCAGCAAGGGUAAGUGGGCUCUGGCGGGUGCACGGGGGGUCUUGUCG
rnacentral:SRP_RNA from 1 species